rnacentral:rRNA from 1 species
UACGGAGGGUGCAAGCGUUAUCCGGAUUCACUGGGUUUAAAGGGUGCGUAGGCGGGCAGUUAAGUCCGUUGUGAAAUCUCCGAGCUUAACUCGGAAACUGCCAUGGAUACUAUUUGUCUUGAAUGUUGUGGAGGUGAGCGGAAUAUGUCAUGUAGCGGUGAAAUGCUUAGAUAUGACAUAGAACACCAGUUGCGAAGGCGACUCCCUGCACAAAUAUUGACGCUGAGGCACGAAAGCGAGGGGAUCAAACGGG